GACUCUUAUCAGUACACUCCCAGCGGAUUUUAUGGCUUUAAUCGAUAUCUCUUCAACGUUGAACAGAACAGAGCAACCAAAUUCAAAUUUCCCCUUCAAUCUCUCACUCUGUUCUUUAUCUUCUCUCAUUUUUUUUGGAUUGCUUCAUUUCUCCUUCUCUUUUGACAAAUCCAGCAACGGGAAAGAAUGAGGAAUCAUCGCACACGUCGGAGGCGAGAAAGAAUGAGUAAUCAGCAUACACAAAGACGUUAAGGAAAGAAAGUUCUUAGAAAGUUCUUAGGUGACAGAUGGGUUCCUCUGUGUUUAAAGGAAUUUGAUCCCUUUUAGGAAAGAAAGUUCUUAAAACUCAUAAAGGAGCUAAAAGUAAUGGAAAUAAGAAAAAUUAUAGCUUUCUGGGAUUUUGUUCAUCAAUCAUUUCAUAAAGGAUGUUUCAGGUAACAUAAAGCAUAUGCAAUUUUAGGUAACACAUGAAGCAUGAGAUUAAAUAUGUAUUUACUAUUAUAAACAUAAAGCAAAAACAAUUUCAGGAAACACAUGAUUGAAUGUUUAAGAAACAUGAGAUUAAUUGCUUUUGUGAACUUCUCAAUACUUUUUUAAUA